rnacentral:rRNA from 1 species
UGAAUCGAAGUCGGGGUGCUGGUCAUCCCCGUGCCGCAAGGCCGAGCCCGUUUGAUGGUGAAGCUUCCUGCAACACAACCAAGAAAAGCCCAUAUAACAGCGACCGUACUAAAACUGACACAGGCAGGUGAGGCGCGUAGCCUCAGGCGCUCGGGAAAACGCUGGUUAAGGAACUCUGCAAAUUGGCCCCGUAACUUCGGGAGAAGGGGUGCCAUCGCAAGAUGGUCUCAGCAAAGCGGCACUAGCGACUGUUUACUAAAAACACAGGUCUCUGCGAACUCGUAAGAGGAUGUAUAGAGACUGACGCCUGCCCGGUACCGGUAAGUUAAUAAAGAGGGUUAGCUCCAGGGCGAAGCCAGCAAUUGAAGCUCCGGUAAACGGCGGCCGUAACUAUGACGGUCCUAAGGUAGCGAAAUUCCUUGUCGGGUAAGUUCCGACCUGCAUGAAUGGCGUAACGACUGGUGCACUGUCUCAACCAGCGACCCGGUGAAAUUGUAGUCGUGGUGAAGAUGCCACGUACCCGCAGCGUGACGGAAAGACCCCAUGAACCUUUACUGCAAGCUGAUACUGUCACUUGGCAUGUUUUGUGUAGGAUAGGUGGGAGGCUUUGAAGUCGGUACGCAAGUAUCGAUGGAGCCAUCCUUGAAAUACCACCCUGAACCUGUUAGGUGUCUAACGCUGACCCGUGAAUCCGGGCGGCGAACACUGUCAGUUGGGCAGUUUGACUGGGGCGGUCUCCUCCUGAAGAGUAACGGAGGAGCUCAAAGGUACCCUCAGCCUGGUUGGCAAUCAGGCGAAGAGCGUAAAGGUAGAAGGGUGCUUGACUGCGAGAGCAUAACUCGAGCAGAGACGAAAGUUGGACUUAGUGAUCCGGCGGUUCCGAAUGGAAGGGCCGUCGCUCAACAGAUAAAAGGUACUCUGGGGAUAACAGGCUGAUCCCGCCCGAGCGUCCAUAGCGGCGGCGGGGUUUGGCACCUCGAUGUCGGCUCAUCACAUCCUGGGGGUGAAGAAGCUCCCAAGGGUUCGGCUGUUCGCCGAUUAAAGUGGUACGUGAGCUGGGUUUAAACCGUCGUGAGACAGGUUGGUCCCUAUCUGCUGUGGGCGUACGAAACUUGAGGGGUAUUCUCCUUAGUACGAGAGGAUUUGGAGGGACGUACCUCUGGUGUUCCUGUUGUCACGCCAGUGGCAUCGCAGGGUAGCUAUGUACGGUUGUGAUAAACGCUGAAAGCAUAUAAGCGUGAAGCCAUCCCCAAGAUAAGGUUUCGUUGAACUUUGGUUCUGAACUCCCCAGGAAGACGACCUGGUUGAUAGGCUGGCGGUGUAAGGCGUGAAAGCGUUUAAGCUGACCAGUACUAAUGGGGGAAUGCUUGGCCAC